GACGAACGCUGGCGGCGUGCCUAAUACAUGCAAGUCGAGCGAACGGACGAGAAGCUUGCUUCUCUGAUGUUAGCGGCGGACGGGUGAGUAACACGUGGAUAACCUACCUAUAAGACUGGGAUAACUUCGGGAAACCGGAGCUAAUACCGGAUAAUAUUUUGAACCGCAUGGUUCAAAAGUGAAAGACGGUCUUGCUGUCACUUAUAGAUGGAUCCGCGCUGCAUUAGCUAGCUGGUAAGGUAACGGCUUACCAAGGCAACGAUGCAUAGCCGACCUGAGAGGGUGAUCGGCCACACUGGAACUGAGACACGGUCCAGACUCCUACGGGAGGCAGCAGUAGGGAAUCUUCCGCAAUGGGCGAAAGCCUGACGGAGCAACGCCGCGUGAGUGAUGAAGGUCUUCGGAUCGUAAAACUCUGUUAUUAGGGAAGAACAUAUGUGUAAGUAACUGUGCACAUCUUGACGGUACCUAAUCAGAAAGCCACGGCUAACUACGUGCCAGCAGCCGCGGUAAUACGUAGGUGGGCAGCGUUAUCCGGAAUUAUUUGGCGUAAAGCGCGCGUAGGCGGUUUUUUAAGUCUGAUGUGAAAGCCCACGGCUCAACCGUGGGGGGUCAUUGGAAACUGGAAAACUUGAGUGCAGAAGAGGAAAGUGGAAUUCCAUGUGUAGCGGUGAAAUGCGCAGAGAUAUGGAGGAACACCAGUGGCGAAGGCGACUUUCUGGUCUGUAACUGACGCUGAUGUGCGAAAGCGUGGGGAUCAAACAGGAUUAGAUACCCUGGUAGUCCACGCCGUAAACGAUGAGUGCUAAGUGUUAGGGGGUUUCCGCCCCUUAGUGCUGCAGCUAACGCAUUAAGCACUCCGCCUGGGGAGUACGACCGCAAGGUUGAAACUCAAAGGAAUUGACGGGGACCCGCACAAGCGGUGGAGCAUGUGGUUUAAUUCGAAGCAACGCGAAGAACCUUACCAAAUCUUGACAUCCUUUGACAACUCUAGAGAUAGAGCCUUCCCCUUCGGGGGACAAAGUGACAGGUGGUGCAUGGUUGUCGUCAGCUCGUGCCGUGAGAUGUUGGGUUAAGUCCCGCAACGAGCGCAACCCUUAAGCUUAGUUGCCAUCAUUAAGUUGGGCACUCUAAGUUGACUGCCGGUGACAAACCGGAGGAAGGUGGGGAUGACGUCAAAUCAUCAUGCCCCUUAUGAUUUGGGCUACACACGUGCUACAAUGGACAAUACAAAGGGCAGCGAAACCGCGAGGUCAAGCAAAUCCCAUAAAGUUGUUCUCAGUUCGGAUUGUAGUCUGCAACUCGACUACAUGAAGCUGGAAUCGCUAGUAAUCGUAGAUCAGCAUGCUACGGUGAAUACGUUCCCGGGUCU
rnacentral:rRNA from 1 species